CCUACGGGAGGCAGCAGUGAGGAAUAUUGGUCAAUGGGCGGGAGCCUGAACCAGCCAAGUCGCGUGAGGGAAGACGGUCCUAUGGAUUGUAAACCUCUUUAGGCGGGGAGCAAUGCCGGGCACGCGUGCCCGGAGGGAGAGUACCCGCAGAAUAAGCAUCGGCUAACUCCGGGCCAGCAGCCGCGGUAAUACGGAGGAUGCGAGCGUUAUCCGGAUUUAUGGGGUUUAAAGGGUGCGUAGGCGGAUUUUUAAGUCAGCGGUAAAAUGUCCGGGCUCAACCCGGGCCGGCCGUUGAAACUGGGGAUCUUGAGUGGGCGAGAAGUAUGCGGAAUGCGUGGUGUAGCGGUGAAAUGCAUAGAUAUCACGCAGAACUCCGAUUGCGAAGGCAGCAUACCGGCGCCCGACUGACGCUGAGGCACGAAAGCGUGGGGAUCGAACAGGAUUAGAUACCCCAGUAGUC
rnacentral:rRNA from 1 species